rnacentral:rRNA from 1 species
GAUGAACGCUGACAGAAUGCUUAACACAUGCAAGUCAACUUGAACUUCGGUUUGGGUGGCGGACGGGUGAGUAACGCGUAAAGAACUUGCCUCACAGCUAGGGACAACAUUUGGAAACGAAUGCUAAUACCUGAUAUUAUGAUUAUAUGGCAUCGUAUAAUUAUGAAAGCUAUAUGCGCUGUGAGAGAGCUUUGCGUCCCAUUAGCUAGUUGGAGAGGUAACAGCUCACCAAGGCGAUCAUGGGUAGCCGGCCUGAGAGGGUGAUCGGCCACAAGGGGACUGAGACACGGCCCUUACGCCUACGGGAGGCAGCAGUGGGGAAUAUGGGACAAUGGACCGAGAGUCUGAUCCAGCAAUUCUGUGUGCACGAUGAAGUUUUGCGGAAUGUAAAGUGCUUUCAGUUGGGAAGAAAAAAAUGACGGUACCAACAGAAGAAGUGACGGCUAAAUACGUG